AUACGGAGGGUGCGAGCGUUAAUCGGAAUUACUGGGCGUAAAGCGUACGUAGGCGGUUGGUUAAGUUAGAUGUGAAAGCCCCGGGCUUAACCUGGGAACUACAUUUAAAACUGGCGAACUAGAGUUGAGUAGAGGGGAGUGGAAUUUCAGGUGUAGCGGUGAAAUGCGUAGAGAUCUGAAGGAACACCAGUGGCGAAGGCGACUCCCUGGACUCGAACUGACGCUGAGGUACGAAAGCGUGGGUAGCAAACGGAAUUAGAAACCCUAGUAGUCC
rnacentral:rRNA from 1 species